rnacentral:misc_RNA from 1 species
AGUCGUAACAAGGUAUCCGUAGGUGAACCUGCGGAUGGAUCAUUACCAAAGACCCAUUUCGAGUCUUGUGAACUGUUUUUCGGUGGUCAGUGUUUUUUUUAUUUUUGGGUUUUUUAAUUUAUUAAAUUUCUCGUUUGUAUUGCUGCACUGGCUUCACCAACCAAACCAAACGUCUAAACCCUUUAACCAGAGUCACUUUAGCUUAAAACUAAAGACAACUUUUAGCAACGGAUCUCUUGGCUCUC